GUAAUAGAGGCGCGGGCUUCAUCAGUAGCCGGAGAGCGACACGGGGAUGUCGCCGGCGAAAGGGGAUCCCGCCGAAGCGGAUGCGUCCCCCGAGCGCUCCUGCUGGGAUAACGCAAAAGAUGCGUUAUACUGUCGUUACACGGUAACGGAGUGCUAUUC
rnacentral:ncRNA from 1 species